GAUUCGUCUAACAACCCUUUGCCACACAAAUGAAUAAUUUGAUAUUUUUUUAAAAGUUCCUGCAAAUUUUUAUGUACGGCAUCGUUGAUGGUUUUAGCGCCCAAGCUUCCACCCAUAAACAUCAAAAUCGGUUUUUGAGCCUCAA
rnacentral:ncRNA from 1 species